rnacentral:rRNA from 2 species
CGGGGAAAAAUACAUAGCGCUGGCGGCAGGCCUACACAUGCAGUCGAGCGGAUGACGGGAGCUUGCUCCUUGAUUCAGCGGCGGACGGGUGAGUAAUGCCUAGGAAUCUGCCUGGUAGUGGGGGACAACGUUCCGAAAGGGGCGCUAAUACCGCAUACGUCCUACGGGAGAAAGUGGGGGAUCUUCGGACCUCACGCUAUCAGAUGAGCCUAGGUCGGAUUAGCUAGUUGGUGAGGUAAUGGCUCACCAAGGCGACGAUCCGUAACUGGUCUGAGAGGAUGAUCAGUCACACUGGAACUGAGACACGGUCCAGACUCCUACGGGAGGCAGCAGUGGGGAAUAUUGGACAAUGGGCGAAAGCCUGAUCCAGCCAUGCCGCGUGUGUGAAGAAGGUCUUCGGAUUGUAAAGCACUUUAAGUUGGGAGGAAGGGCAGUAAGUUAAUACCUUGCUGUUUUGACGUUACCGACAGAAUAAGCACCGGCUAACUCUGUGCCAGCAGCCGCGGUAAUACAGAGGGUGCAAGCGUUAAUCGGAAUUACUGGGCGUAAAGCGCGCGUAGGUGGUUCGUUAAGUUGGAUGUGAAAGCCCCGGGCUCAACCUGGGAACUGCAUCCAAAACUGGCGAGCUAGAGUAUGGUAGAGGGUGGUGGAAUUUCCUGUGUAGCGGUGAAAUGCGUAGAUAUAGGAAGGAACACCAGUGGCGAAGGCGACA